UGUAUCUUGCAAGCUUGCUUGUUUGUACAUGGAUAGUGGCGGACGGGUGAGUAACGCGUGAAUAUCUAUCCAUUGGAGGGGGACAACCCGUCGAAAGGCGGGCUAAUACCGCGUAGGCCAUUUUUUGGUGAAAGGUCACAUAUUGUGGCUGCCGAUGGAUGAGUUUGCGUCCUAUCAGCUUGUUGGUGGGGUAAGGGCCUACCAAGGCUAAGACGGGUAGCCGGUCUGAGAGGAUGGCCGGUCACACUGGAACUGAGAUACGGUCCAGACUCC
rnacentral:rRNA from 1 species